rnacentral:rRNA from 1 species
GGCAAAAGCUCAAAUUUGAAAUCUGGUACCUUCGGUGCCCGAGUUGUAAUUUGGAGAGGGCAACUUUGGGGCCGUUCCUUGUCUAUGUUCCUUGGAACAGGACGUCAUAGAGGGUGAGAAUCCCGUGUGGCGAGGAGUGCGGUUCUUUGUAAAGUGCCUUCGAAGAGUCGAGUUGUUUGGGAAUGCAGCUCUAAGUGGGUGGUAAAUUCCAUCUAAAGCUAAAUAUUGGCGAGAGACCGAUAGCGAACAAGUACAGUGAUGGAAAGAUGAAAAGAACUUUGAAAAGAGAGUGAAAAAGUACGUGAAAUUGUUGAAAGGGAAGGGCAUUUGAUCAGACAUGGUGUUUUGUGCCCUCUGCUCCUUGUGGGUAGGGGAAUCUCGCAUUUCACUGGGCCAGCAUCAGUUUUGGUGGCAGGAUAAAUCCAUAGGAAUGUAGCUUGCCUCGGUAAGUAUUAUAGCCUGUGGGAAUACUGCCAGCUGGGACUGAGGACUGCGACGUAAGUCAAGGAUGCUGGCAUAAUGGUUAUAUGCCGCCCGU